GGGCAUGUGGCUUAGUGGUAGAGUGCUUGCCUAGCAUGCAGGAAGCCCUGGGUUCAAUUCCUCAGUACCA
rnacentral:tRNA from 1 species